GCCUGGGGGGCUUAGUCGGUUGAGCAUCUGACUUCAGCUCAGGUCAUGAUCUCACAGUCCGUGGGUUCGAGCCCCGCGUCGGGCU
rnacentral:tRNA from 1 species